rnacentral:rRNA from 1 species
GACGAACGCUGGCGGCAUGCCUAAUACAUGCAAGUCGAGCGAACAGAUGAAGUGCUUGCACUUCUGACGUUAGCGGCGAACGGGUGAGUAACACGUAAGGAAUCUACCUAUAAGCGGGGGAUAACAUUCGGAAACGGGUGCUAAUACCGCAUAAUAUCUUCUUCCGCAUGGAAGAAGAUUGAAAGACGGCUCUGCUGUCACUUAUAGAUGACCUUGCGGUGCAUUAGUUAGUUGGUGGGGUAACGGCCUACCAAGACGAUGAUGCAUAGCCGACCUGAGAGGGUGAUCGGCCACAUUGGGACUGAGACACUGCCCAAACUCCUACGGGAGGCAGCAGUAGGGAAUCUUCCGCAAUGGGCGAAAGCCUGACGGAGCAAUGCCGCGUGAGUGAAGAAGGCCUUCGGGUCGUGAAACUCUGUUAUAAGAGAAGAACAAAUUGUAGAGUAACUGCUACAGUCUUGACGGUAUCUUAUCAGAAAGCCACGGCUAACUACGUGCCAGCCGCCGCUGUAA